rnacentral:rRNA from 1 species
AUGAACGCUGGCGGCGUGCCUAAUACAUGCAAGUCGAGCGAACAGACGAGGGGCUUGCUCCUCUGACGUUAGCGGCGGACGGGUGAGUAACACGUGGAUAACCUACCUAUAAGACUGGGAUAACUUCGGGAUACCGGAGCUAAUACCGGAUAAUAUAUUGAACCGCAUGGUUCAAUAGUGAAAGACGGUUUUGCUGUCACUUAUAGAUGGAUCCGCGCCGCAUUAGCUAGUUGGUAAGGUAACGGCUUACCAAGGCAACGAUGCGUAGCCGACCUGAGAGGGUGAUCGGCCACACUGGAACUGAGACACGGUCCAGACUCCUACGGGAGGCAGCAGUAGGGAAUCUUCCGCAAAGGGCGAAAGCCUGACGGAGCAACGCCGCGUGAGUGAUGAAGGUCUUCGGAUCGUAAAACUCUGUUAUUAGGGAAGAACAAAUGUGUAAGUAACUAUGCACGUCUUGACGGUACCUAAUCAGAAAGCCACGGCUAACUACGUG